CUCUCCCCAAGCGGCAGCUCAUCCCAUACAUUGGCUUACGUGGGCUUUUACUUAAAUUGGUCUGUAAGUAAUGGAAAGGCGAAGCCUGCAGCAGGGUGAACGCUCGCUUGUCAGAUUGCAGCUCUGCAGUCCGUCCUGCGUUAGCAGGCACCUGGACAUAGUGGCACAAACACGGCUGGGCCUCGUUCACACAAACAGCCUGAUAAAAUUGCUCCUGGACCAGACACCCCCUCGGACUGCAGGUGGAGGAAAUUGCAUUACAGUGGUACCUCGGGUUACAGACGCUUCAGGUUACAGACGCUUCAGGUUACAGACUCCACUAACCCAGAAAUAUUACCUCGGGUUAAGAACUUUGCUUCAGGAUGAGAACAGAAAUGGUGCUCCGGUGGCGCGGCAGCAGCAGGAGGCCCCAUUAGCUAAAGUGGUGCGUCAGGUUAAGAACAGUUUCAGGUUAAGAACAGACCUCCGGAAUGAAUUAAGUACUUAACCCGAGAUACCACUGUACAGUGGUACCUCAGGUUACAGACACUUCAGGUUACAGACUCCACUAACCCAGAAAUAGCACCUCGGGUUAAGAACUUUACCUCAGGAUGAGAACAGAAAUCGUGUGGUGGCGGUGUGGCAGCAGCGGGAAACCCCAUUUGCUAAAAGUGGUACCUCAGGUUAAGAACCAUUUCAGGUUAAGAACGGACCUCCAGAAUGAAUUAAGUUCUUAACCUGAGGCACCACUGUAUUGUGAACACUCCUCCAUGUUUAAAGCACGUAACAAAACUGCCGGAUUUGGGAGAAGGCCGCUUAGCAGUGCCCGGGAACAGUUUCAGUAGGUCAUCUAUUAUUUGUCACACGGUCUAAGCCCCAGAGGUGCUUGGUCAGGGGAAAAAGCCAGCGAUGCCACCGAGACAGGACUUUGGGGCAGAAAUCCGGGACCACAAACAGCACAAUGAACAGGAGAAAGGCCUCCAUCAAUGCAGCAGGGCUUUCUUUGACCACAUAUUGAAGCAAAUGACAUAAUACACAUCGCUAUGUAAAAGCGGAGGGAUGCCAGACCAUUGAAAUUAGAGCCUAGAGUUACUGAAAUGUACCCAAAAACCCACAAAAAAACCAUUUGGGGUAUUAAAGCCGCAAUCUUGGGGAGGAGAAGGAUUUGACCUCUUGUCCUCCGUAAUCAAUCUACUCCUAUUUCUGCUGUCUAGGACUACUGUAAUAAGAAUUUCCUCAAAAUGUCCGCCCAACUCUUUUGCAGGGGACAGGGGUCCGUUCUGCAACUAGAUCUGAACAGGCACUGGAUCCCAAAUGCCCCAUCCUGGAGUGCGUACAGACAACCUGUUUGCUGAGCAUUUGUCCUGACUUGUUUGCAAAGGCAAUUAGGUGAGAGGUUGGCUAUUUAAUAAGCAUUCGUUCUGAUUUGUUUGCAAGGACGGCAUUGCAUCGAAAGCAAGUGUCGUUGUCCCCCAUGCUUUCUCCCAUGGUCUGGUGUGGGCCUUAUUGCUUGGACG